CAUAAGAGUAUAUUUUUCAAUAUUUAAAUCGUUUAAAACUGCCCAGAUAGAAACUGAAAUAAUUAUUUAAUUAUUCUUUUUGUUUUUAAAAUUAUUUAUUUACAGUGAUAAAUUUACACAGGGAAUUGGAGCACCUGUAGGUUCCCUAGUAGGCGGAACUUCGGAAUUUAUAAACUGAGUGAUGCGAUGUCGUAAAGUGCUGGGCGGUGGAAUGCGCCAGGCUGGGGUUCUCGCUGCAGCAGGUUUAGUGGCUUUAGAUACAGCAACGGAAAGAAUACAAAGGGAUCACUUAAGAGCUCAUAAAUUAGCUCAAGAUAUUCAUAAUCUAAAGAGUGCACUGAUCACCAUCAAUCCAGAUGUUGUUGAAACAAAUAUGCUUUUGCUUAACUUCCCGUCGCCGCUCUUCACAUGUCAACAGUUUGUCGACAGAAUGGCUACGGUA